AAACAGGCGAGUUCCCAAGCAAGCCACACCUGCUCCAGGCUUAUCGGGCUAAAGUGCCAGCAGGACUCCGAGCCAAGAGUUGCAGCGGCAGCACGGACAUUUUUCCCGUUCGGCCUCUUGCCUGGCUGCUCCCGCCACUCCUGGAGCUGCGCGUGCUCCUCGGGGCGACGGCGACAGAGCACUGACUGCUGCUGCGUUAGUGGGAGAGAUUGUGUGGCUGCGACGGGGAAGACGAGACUAGGCGCUCAAGGAUGUUCACUGAGCAUGCGCCGGCUGAGACUGCUGACUCUGGAGCCUGAGCAACCGAGGAGCUCAGGAAAUAAAGAAAUAAAUCAAGGCAUGAAAACACCAGCAAGUAGAAAUAAGAAGAUCCAGUGAAGGGGGCGGGGUGGGGGCGCUUCUUUUUAUCUCCCCUUACUCCAUCACCUACAGAUAUCUUGAUGGCAUGAUGAAUCUGAUGGAAGAAAAGAGAACGUACUAUGUAACUAAAUUCCAGAGAGAAUGAGAUGCCAGCAGGGACAUUCUGCCAAAUAUUGACACCUGUUGAUCCUCACCAUCUAAAGAUAGAUAUCAAGUACUAAAUAUUUUAUUAGCUUAAAGCUCAAAGGAAGCUAUUAUUUGUACAUCCAGUUAACUACAAUAGAAAUUAAACUAAUCAUCCAUCAUCUUUUUGAACUUUUUCCAAAAAAGAAAUAAUAGCAGAUCUAUAGUAAUGUGUAUAGAAAUAUCUCAUUACUUCUAAGCAGGUUUACUUUUUAAUUAAUAUAUUUUAAAAUCAUGUUUUCAGCCUGCUUAUUUUUCCUCACAAACCAUCCUGGUUUGCCUACAAUUUUUUGGAUCACUAUUGUUUUGUAUGACUUUGCCAUCACUUUCUACUUAAUGAAAUUAUUUCUCGCAUUUUUAUCAGACCAAUUGUUUAAAAGUAGGAGGUCUUACAUUUUUCUACACGUAUGGUUUUCUCUCCACUUGCAAAAAAAAUUAUGAUUCUACCUCCAAAUUUUUCAGUAGAUUCUUUUUUAUGACAGUAACACCAAUAUUUCACAGUAUGUGAUUUAAAUAAAUGACAGCUUGAAGAUGGAAGAAAUACUGUCCUAGUCUUGUUAAAUGCUCCCAUUCUUUUUGAAGCUUGAAUAUAAAGAGUUCAUUUUCUUUCAUUGUAAUUCCAUGGUUUAUUUCUGAUGCUCUUGCAUAUUACAUCUUCAAAUAGAAACUACAGGUACUCCCAACUUACAACCACAAUUAGGACUGGGAUUUCUGUUGUAAAUCGUUGUAGUCAAUAAGUAAGUAAGUAAGUAAGUAAGUAAGUAAAUAAGUAAGUUAGUUUAUUACAGCCAUAGGCCAGAACAAAUAAAAAAACCACUCAGUAAAUAUACAAUUAAAAAUUCAAGAAUAAAAUAAUACAUAUCAAAUAAAAUCUAUGAUAAAAACCAGUUAUCUGUUAUGUAACUUAAAAUUAAAAUACUACUGACAUUAAUCGUAUCUAGUACCGUUCCUAAGAUUAAAAUACAUGAUCUAGUUGAAUCAUAAUGUGACUGGACCCAAUUUAACAAUUAUUUUUAUGAUAAGUAGAAAUCCAACUUAACAAAUAACGUUUUUGCUGUAAUCUGGGAAAAAAGUCAAAAUCAUGAUUGUGUGACCUCACGAUGCUGCAACCAGUCAUAAAUGUGAGCUGGUUGCCAAGUGCCCAAACUGAGAUCACAUAAUUGCAGGGGUGGAGGCAGUGAUUGUAAAUUCCAAUUUAGAUCAUAAAUGGCUUUUUGUAUCAUUAAUUCAAAUAAUCAUUAAUUGAAUGGUUGUAAAUCAAGGACCAGUUAUAUAUUUUAGACAUUUAUUUGGAAGUUACUAUGAGAGGAACAGGGAAAAAUUAAAUUAUUAUUCUCUUUCCCACCUCAUUCUCUUUCCAUUUCUUUUCCAUCAAGAGAUUAAAUGGGAUAAUUUAAUGUCUUGGUCUUGCAUUCAUUUAUCAUUUCAUUAAUAGAGACCAGCUUUUGUAGUUACUAGCGUCUGCUGAAACUUAGAUACAAAUCUAUAUUUUUAUUAAGUAUGAUAAUUGCCUCAACCAACAUCUGUGUGAGGUUUUUUUGUUUUUCAUUGUUGCUUAUGAAACCUUUCCCCCUACUUUUUCAUAUCUUCCAACUACUGUCAGGGCUUUUCAGAUUGGUUCAAUGUUGGCAGAAUUUUCUGCCAACAUUGAACCAAUGUUACUUACUUGUUAAGGAAUGACGACUGUCUCCAAGUCUGUUUAAACUUCAGAAAUGGAGAUCUCUAACUCAAAUAUUCAGUCAUAUUCGGAAUGACUCCAUGUUGUGUAUUCAAGGCCUAGUAAUGAUAGGGAUUUUUUUAUGGUAGCUAUAAACAGGCUGGUGUACAGUGUUGGAAGAAAUAUCCAUCUGGUUCAGUUCCAAGUGGAGAAAGACAUUGGAAACAGGGAGGCUGAUUGGAAAGAUGGUUAAUGAAGCAGAACCAUCAAGCACAUGGUCCUGGUGCAGCUGACCACAUGGAGUGGAGAGUGAGGGUGAGGGUUAUUUAUACUCUCUUUUGGGCCUUGCCCUUGAGCUUCCUGUUCAUGUCCAAGAAAUGUAUUCUAUUGGCUGUAAUCAGACUCCCAUGGGGCCAUGCAGGGGUCAUAGCUUUCCUUGUAGGUUUUCUGAUUCAAGCUUAGUUGAAAUUUGCUGGGUGAUACAAUGAAGAGGCUUGUGUUCUGAAAGGGUAUUGAGCAAUUCCUAUUGUGUCUUAAUGGCUUUUCCCGGGUUUGGAUCUUGAGGGCUAAUCCCAUCACCCUGAGGCUGAAGAUCUUUUGUCUUGUAGAUAGGCUGACCCAGUCCUUCUCAAUGGGCACCAAAUAUCUGCUGGGGGCAGGGAGCUGAAGCUUUGAGUUUCUGUCCCCCUUAAGAUUUCUAUUUCUCUAUUAGGGGAAAUAUAAUAUUCUGCCUUUUAAUAAUUUCCUAAAAUAUUUCAUUCUUCUAGGAGGGGGAUGGGUGCUAUCUUUAUACAACAGGUGAAAUAAGUAGUAAGUAAGUAGUCUUCCUGGUAAUAGCCAAAAUACUGGGUGCCACUGCUGACACUAUUUGAAUUCCAAGCAAAUAUGCCACAGAAUCCAAAUACAAUACAUUGCAAAAGAUUCUAGGGCAUAUACAAUUCUACAUGGGGCUCCCCUUGAGGUGCACUCGGAGGCUUCAGUUAGUUCAGAAUGCAGCUGCGCGGGUGGCCUUUCGGGUGCACUUUAAGGUUUUGGUUACGAUCUUUAAAGCGCUCCAUGGCUUAGGGCCUGGAUACUUACGGGACCGCCUGCUGUUACUGCAUGCCUCCCACCGACCCGUACGCUCUCACAGAGAGGGACUUCUCAGGGUGCCGUCCACCAAGCAAUGUCGGCUGGCAGCCCCAGGGGAAGGUCCUUCUCUAUGGGGGCUCCCACACUCUGGAAUGAGCUUCCCCCGGGCUUACGCCAAAUACCUGACCUUCGGACCUUCCGCCGCGAACUGAAGACACAUCUUUUCAUUCGCGCGGGGCUGGCUUAAAUUUUAUCGAUUUUAAAUUUUAAAUUUUCUAUUACAAAUUUUAAUGGGGUCUUAGUUUUAUAUAUUUUAAAGUUUUUUAGGCCAAUUAUAAAAUAAGUUUUUUAAUUUGUAUUUUAAAUUGUAUAUUGUAUUGUUUGUUUUUUACUUUUGGCUGUACACCGCCCUGAGUCCUUCGGGAGAAGGGCGUUAUAAAAAUCGAAUUAAAUAAAUAAAUAAAUAAAUAAUAUGCUCCUCCCGAGCCUCCCUCUUACUGAGCUUACUUCCAGGGCUUCAAAUUGCAAGGGAAGGCUGAGCAAGUAAUUUUUCAAAUAAGCUUGUCAGACACUAUAGAAUUUCACAGCCCAAUUCACCUCAUAUGAGUGUUCUUGUGGGGAAAAUAGGAGGAGGAAGGUGUGCUGGAUAUGUUUGCCACCUUGAGUUAUUUGUGAAAACAAUAAAGGUGGGAUAGGUGGUAAAAUCAUCCAUGGGUUGCUAAUAGUUCGCUGCACACGCAUGCAUAAAUAGUGCACACCAAACACUCACUGUGAGUGCAUGUGCCGUGCACACCAAACGCAAACUGCACACACACGCAUGCACAGUGUUCACCAAAUGCACAUUGCGCAUGCGCGCAUGCACAGUGCACACCAAACAGGUGCUUCGUGUUGAAAAAGGAGCAGCAAGGGGGGAACAGCUGUGCCGCGCCAUUUAGAUUCGCUAGAAAGCAGGAUUUCACACGGCACAGCUGGUCGUUGGAAAUACUGCUUCGGAUGAACCAGUAGCCUUUUUUUACUACUGGUUCUCCCGAACUGGUGUGAACCGGUAGAAUUUCACCCUGGGUGGGAUACAAAUAAGCAAAUAACAAAUAAGGAAAGAAUCUUACAUUUCUCUUUUGAAUCAAGCAGACAAUGAACUGAGGCCAUCUGCAAUAGCCAUAAGAACUUAAGAGGAUGUUGUUGUUCUUUCUGUGUAUAUCAUUGUGGUUUAGUUUCGUGAACCUCUUGAGUAUCAUCUAACUGAAAUACUGUAAAAUUAAAUUAAUUUUAUUAAUUUGCCAUGGAAUUAUUGUCAGUACAGUAAUGAAAACUCAACAGUCAUUAAGUACUACGUGUAGAAAAAGUCAAUUUUUAGGGACUUUGAAUUUCUAUUGGCAAUGAUAUGAAUAACUUCAUCUACCAGCAACACUUCAAUGGAUCAAUCAUUCAGCAAACUAUCAAAUUUUUAUUGUUUUAACCAUAAGUUAAGAUAGGAAGUGGGAAAAAGUCAUAGUUGCAAAAGAGAUAAUAUGCUUACAUGAUAUAAAGCAUUCAUAAUAUUUUAUUUUUAUUUUAUUUGUUUAUCGAACAUGUACAAGGUAGCAAAUAUAAGUAUGAACAUAAGCAUGAAAAAAAAGGAAUUAAAUACAGAUAAAUAGGGACAAUAAGACAGAGAUGGUAGGCAUGCUGGUGCACUUAUACACGCCUUCUUAGGAAUUGGGUGAGGUCCACGAUAGACAGUUUAAGGUUGAAGCUGUGAGGGUUUGAGGAUGUAACAACAGUUGGGUAGAACAUUCCAGGCAUUGCCCACUCUGUUUUCUGCCAUCGAGUUUGGAGUGGUUUACCUUGAGUUUGCAUCGAUUGUUUGCCUGUGUAUUAUUAUUAAUAUUUUGUAAUUUUUUUUAUUUUUUAAACAUAGACAACACAAAAACCAUUUUUUCUGAACAAAAUAUCUGCCAGGUACAUAUCAAAUCAAAUUCGUUAUUUUCCAAUCCUCUCCAUGCCUUCAUCAAUAUAUUUUUUUCUCAUUUUACCUUUCCUUGUUUACAAUCAUCUUAAAAAUCUAAUUGUCUUUAGACCCCAUCUUUAAUCUUUAUCUCUAAUAAUACUUCUUUUCCCCCUUUACUCUAUUGCCAUUUAUAUCAAACCCUUUUAUUCCCUCUUGUUUUAUGUUCUAUUACUUCUUCCAAUCAAACAUCAUCAUAAAUCAUAUCUUAUAUUACAAUAACAUUUUGUUGGUUGUGUAUCAUUAAGAGAAAAGAAAAUGGAGAAGAAAACAAACAUAAAUUCACUUAAUAAAGUUUUACAGAAUAAUUUUUCCAGUAUCAUUAUAAUAAAAAAGCUAUCUUAACCUUCAAUUAACUUUUCUCAUAUUAAACUCCACACUCAUAAAUUAUUAUUAUUUUUUCUUUCCCCCUCUUAUCUUUUUCUCCUUCCUUCUCUUAAAUUUCUUCAAUUCCUUUAUUUGCCCUAUAUUUCCCUCCACUCUCCUUUUCUUCCCUUCCCCCAUUUUUUUCUUUUCUCCACUGAUCUCUAAAGAAUCUCUUAGCUUUGCAGUUUUUUCCUUCCUUUCUAUCACUCUCUGUUCUUUCUUUCCUUUCUUCCUAUUUUUAUCCAAUCUUUUUUGUAGUAUUUUUCUAUUUCUCCUCUUUCUCUUAAUAGUUUCUUUUUUCUUAUUGUUUAUCUUAAUGUAACCUUUUGGGUUCUCAUUAUGUAUCUUUUCCUCUCUCUCUUUGAACUCAUUUAAAUUUCCACCCUUAUUUAAAAAUACAACAUCAACAUUUUUUCUUUUGUCUUCCAGUCCUGUUUCUUGCUUCAUGGUUUUUUUGUUUAGUGUAGGUUCCAGUGCUGCUCCAACUUCCUCUGGUUUUUGCUUUCCAUAUGGUCUUGAAAUUAUUUCUUUUAUUUCUUGUCUAAAAGUCUUAUGCAUUUUUUCCAUCAUUUCGAUUAUUCCCUGUGCCAUUCUGUAUUUUCAAAAUUGUAUUUCUUCUUAUCCUCAAAGUCAAAGUCAGAUAGCACACAGGGAAAAACCUCCCUUUUGUUUUCUCACCAGUCUUAUCUUUUCAACAGAGGAAUUUUUCACAGUAAAAUGUUAGUCAAUGUAGUUUCCCCUUCUGCCUGAAGGUGUCUUUUUGGAAUCCACAACCUAAUCAACAAUUAGCAGAAGUAUCCUCUUUCUUUCUUUUGUUUAAAAUCUCCCUUUGUCCAAGUUCAACUUUUAUAUAUAUUCCACUUAGUUCCUAAUUGCUUCAAUUUAAAAUCAAUGUUCAAAUUUAUUUAGGUCCAAUUUAUAAUAGAAGAAAAAGGUCAGAAACAUUCCACUUCUUUUCCAAAUGUCCCGUCUUCUUCUUCCCUUCUUCCCCUUUCCAAUACUAAAUUAAAAUCCCAAAUUUUUCCAGCUUUUUUAAAAAGGGUUUCUUUCUAACCCCCCUUUUUUUGAGGUCUCCGCUUUGAUUUAAAAAGUUCCAGAUUUCCUCCGUUCUUGGGGUAGUGCUUCUAUUUCUCUCAGGUCUAUAGUUCUGUAUUCCUUAUUAAUUUAGCUGCUGUUCCACCGCCAUAAAAUUUUUCCUCAAUUAUCAGAUGAAUUUAUUUUCAUGUGAGUUGGUGUUGCUCACUCACCUGGCUUCAACACUUUGCUCAAGUCACCGCUCCUGUUCAAAUUCUUUUCUGGUUGCCCCAGCUUAUUGAUGGCUGCCGUAGCCACCGCCACUGCCGCUGAGUUGGAGAGCUUUCCUCUAACCUUUGAGGAACUUGCCGGUUUCUCUUGGUCAAAAAAGGUGCCUCUCCCUCUUCACCAUCCCUACAGGACGGUUCCGGUCUGAAGACCCCUCAGCAGUGGUUUGUCAGCCCAGGGAAUUCACCAAGCUCAGCAGAGCUUGCUCUUCCCUGUCCAUCCCCCCGCGACACUCCUGGUUUCUUGUUUCUGCCUGUGUAUUAUUGAGGUUGAAGCUAAAGAAGUCGUUGACAGAUAAGACAUCGUAGCAGUCAAUUUUGUGUACUAUGCUUAGAUCAGACUGCUGGUAGCGCAGUUCCAGAUUGUCCAAGCCCAAAAUUUCAAGCCUGGUGGCAGAAGGGAUUCUAUUGUGAGUAGAGGAGUGGAGUACACUUCUCAUGAUAUAUCUCUGGACCCACUCAAUCAUAUUAAUGUCUGAUAUACAGUGUGGAUUCCAGGCAGAUGAUCUGUAUUCAAGAAUUGGUCUGGAAAAGGUUUUGUAUGCCCUAGUUAACAAUUCAAUGAAUUCAAUGUUACCAGAGAAGAAGCUUCAUAAAAUAAGGUUAACAACUCUUAAGGCCUUUUUGGCAAUGCUGUUACAGUGAGCUCUGGGGCUUAGAUCGUUUGAGAUAAGUACUCCUAGGUCCCUGACAGAGUGAGGGUCAUCUACGAGACUGUUUCCUUUCCGCCUAACUUGUAUUUGAUGUUCUAUUUUUUUUUUUUUGCCAAUGUGUAGGACAGAGCAUUUGUUCGUUGAAAUUUGGAGUUGCCAAAUGCGCGACCAUUCUGACACGUAGUCAAGAUUGCUUUGUAGGGCAACAGCAUUGUUGGCGGUGUUAAAUAAUUUUACAUCAUCGAUGAAGAGGAUGCAGCUGCUUUUAUAGGUCAUUGAUAUAAAACAGAAAGAGUGUGGGUGCUAAGAUACUGCCUUGGGGGCACCGCUAUUAACUGGUGCUGGAUUUGAUAGGACCCUCCCUAUUUUGACCAUUUGCUUCCUGUUUGACAGGAACGUGGCCAUCCACUUGUGCAGGGGUUUGGAGAUACCGUAAGAACUAAAUUUCAGCAAUAGUUUGUCAUGCACCAUAGAAUCAAAGACUUUGCAGAAGUCUGUGUAAAUUGCAUCUAUUGCUUCACCCUGGUCAAGAUGUGUGGUCCAAAUGUUUCUGCAGUGUAGGAAUUGCAGAUUACAGGACAGAUUUUUUUUCUGAAACCAAACUGCUUGUUAGAAAGCAGGUUGUUUGUUUCUAAGUGAAGGGUGAUGGAUUGGUUUAUAAUCGAUUCCAUGACUUUACAGGUGAUGUAACACAGUGAGAUUGGUAUGUAAUUUUCUACUAGACUAGGCUCUCCCUUUUUAAAAAUAGAUAUCUCCUUGGCUAAUGACCAUAAGUCAGGCAGGGAGCUGGUUCUGAAAGAUACCUCAUAGAUUGUGUUUAGAGGCUCAGCUAAGGCAGUGGCAAGCUUUUUCAAGAAGUAGGCACAUAAUCCAUCAGGGCCAAUAGAUAGAGAUGGCUUUAGGUUGCAUAGUGUUGUUUCAACUGUUGUAGUAAGACAAUUCGUUACGAUGCGACUGGGAAAUGGGGGGUAGCACCUGUUGCUAUCGACAAAGACUAAACUGAAGAACGUAUUAAAGAGAUUGGCCUUAACAGCUUCAUUGUUACAGGCUUCCCCAUUAGGCCCUUUUAGGGAUGGGAUAGAUUUUGAGUCUUUGAGUUUGGCAUUUAUAAAAUUGUAGAAGGCUCGGGGGGAGUUGGAGUUUAACAAGUCCUCCUACUGUCUGCAAUGGAGAUUGUUACAUUUAGCAUUUAUCUGGUGGCAUAAGGUUUUGUAGCAGUUUCUACAUGUAGCUACCAUGUUUCCCCGAAAAUAAGACCCUAUCUUAUAUUUUUUUUGAACCCUGAAAUAAGCGCUUGGCCUUAUUGCCAUGCACUCAAAAGCCUGAUUGGGCUUAUUAUCAGGGGAUGUCUUAUUUUGGGGAAAACAGGGCAGUUUUAUUUUUACGCCAAAGACAUUUUGGUAUAUAUAGAUUAAUGACUCUAUUGACUUCGAGUAAGAGAGUGUUAUAAUGGUCUUCUUAGGUAUUACAACCUGUGAACAGAAGGUGCAAAUCAAGAGAUGAGAAGUUAGCCGUUAUGAGAUUAUAGUUGGCUUUUUUAUAGUUAUAAUUCGGAGUUUCAUCAUUAUGACCCUCUAUGCAGGGACCCAAGCUGAGACAAAAAUCAAUCAUGCUGUGAUCACUGUUGGAAAAAGGUUCUUUAACUUGUAGGCCAUAAAUCAAGUUUAAGCUAUUGCAGAAGAUGAGCUCUAAGCAAUUGUUGAGCCUAGUGUUGUUUGUUACAAACUGCUCCAGCCCCAGAGUUGUAACAGCAUUGUACAGGGUUGUAUGUAGAGGUUUGAUUGAAUAUUCAUUUAGUGUCCAAUUAAUAAGAGGCGCAUUGAGGUCACCAAGAAAGAUGGCACCAGGAAGCUGCCCACUUAAUAGUGCAGUUAGCUUGUUCAUAUGACCAAGGUCAUAAUCAGGGGCUCUAUAACAUAUCAGGAAAUGAAGUGUGGUAUUUAGGGAUAGUUCACAGAAAAUAGUCUCCGGUAGAGCAAGCUCUUGAGUUACAUUAAUCUUUUUCAGAUCUAGGGACUUUUUAUAGAAGAUAGCAACACCACCCCUCUACGAUUGUCACCAUCAGAAUGGAAAAUGUGAUAGUCACUUACUGUAAUAAUGGAGUCUGGAAAGGAUACAUUCAACAUGUCUCACAGACAAAAAUAAGGUUGAAUAGAAAAAACACACACCAGGAGCCACAAAACCUGGGUGGGCAUCGCCAACUCAAUGUCACUCACUCCCACCCAGUGACAUGACUCUUAUGAUUUGAAAAUAAAUGCAAAUCUAAUCAGUAACGGCAUCUUAGUUAGCUCAACUAUAUUGUCUUGUUUAUCAGUUCCUUAUAAGUCAUUUACAUCAUUCCAAAAUAAAUGAAUCUGAUUCAGAUGUAAAUGUUAUUAAAACAGAGCCACUGAAAUCAAUGGAACCUACAAAUUUUAACUAAAAUUAGGUGCAACCAAAAAUGGUAAAGCAGGACUCUGAAAUCAUGAUUGGUUGAACAUAAUCUUGAUGCUACUCCUCCUUGGAAUAAUGUAAUGUUAGAGAAUAGUGGAAAGGUUCCAUAUUGCACAAAUAAAAAAGCAACCAACCACAUUAUGAUUAGCAUGAACAGAUAGCAAUUCCCUAAAACUGAACUCAAUUUUGGUUGAUCAGAAGGAUCCAUGAAUAUAGCUUUCUUAAUGAUAAUAUGGAAGUGGUUUGCAAAAGCUGUCUUCCAAGAUUUUUUUUCAAUUCUCAAUCUAGCCUAACAGCUUUAGUGGUCAUCCAUCCAAGUACUAACCAGAUCUGACUUUGCUUUGGGGUUCUGUUGUUAUUGUCAUUUUAAAAUCAGCAUAGGUCAGCUGGGUGCUGCUUUCUAAGCUGGGAAUUAUGUGUUAACUAAAUCAGUUUUUCUAUGGUUUGAAGAGCUUUCUUAAGUAAAAUUCUUAUAACAUAUUUUUAAUACUUUAUUUCUGUUUUGGGAGUGAUGUUCCAUCUGAUUCUAGAGUUGUCCUUCAUUAUUCUUAUCUUACUUGCUAGCUGCUGAUUCCCUUCAAGGAAAGUAAAUAUAAUUGACCUUAGGGGCAAUACCAUGAUGAAGAAAGAUUGUAAGUUUCACAUUAGAAUACUCCCACAAUGUUAAUACAAUGCUGCGUAUAUGAAAUUGAAGACAGUUCAAUUCUUUCCUAGACUCUGAAUUUUAGUUUCCAGUUACAUGAAUAGUAGGUGUUCUUAUACAUUCACAAUUUUGUAGAGUUCAAGGUAGAAUUGGGUUAGAAAGUUUUCUGUAAAUUGAAGUGUUUAUUUCUUCUGAUUUUGUUUAGAUGUCUUUCAAUGCUGGUACAUUAGUUGAUACAUUUGCUGUUUUAUUGUACCAUACUAAUAUAACAUUUUAUUUUUACAGAUUUCUUAUAGCCUCAAAGGAUUUCAAAAUCUAGUUGACUGUAGCACAUUGUCCACAAAUAUUACCCUGUUUAAUGACAAUAGGCCUUUUGCACUGAAAUCCAAUUCAUUAUUUCUCAUAAAAUGGAAGGAGGAGGAGGAGGGGGAAGAAGGAGGAGGAGGAGGAGGAGAAGGAGAAGAAUCAAAUUUAGAAGGAAGAUAGAAAGGAAUUAUAUAUAGUAAUUUUAAUAUUAUCCUCUCUACUUUAUCUAUUAAGAUUAUACAUACAUAAAUUUCAAAGGGUUUCAUGACUUUGAAGAAAUUCUGAUUUGAAUUAGUGUUGAACUUAAGUAAUGGACAAUAAAAUCUAAGAUUGAUUGAAAAGUUAUUGAAAUACUAAUAGUACCUCUCUAAGCCAAUGUGCAAUUUAUUUAAAGAAACGCAGCAGUGAUUGUUACACUAAUACAAAAAGGGAUGGUUCACAUAAGCAGAAAUUAGUCUGACAAUUGUAGAAGUCUCCCUGCAGCCCUAUUAUUAAAUAUUUGUAUGAUGUGAGUGCUGUACUUGUAGAGUAAUCAACAUGUCCCUGCAUCUCUUUGAGACAGAAUGUUUGCCCUUCACCUACCCAUUUGUUAUAUUUUUCUCAGACAUAUACUGCUAUGUUGUGUGAUUUACAACACAACUUCAACUCAAACAUAUGGAAAUCCAGGCCUAAAAGUUGCAUCUUUAGAGAAGACUUUUUUUCAGACGUUUACUUUUCCUUACUUAAGAAACAGGUACACACGAGUUCCCUGCAGGCUGUUCUAUGGGUUAAAGUGCUCCUCAAUCUAGGUAAAAAGACUACAGUACAUCAAUUCCCAAUUCUUUAAUUAAUUAAUUUUAAAUAUUAAAGUUUCUGAUAAAUUAAUAAAGGCUAUGUCACUGAUGGCUAACCUUUUUGCCAUCACGUGCCAGGAGUGGGGGGGGGGGUGUCACGUGCACCUGUGCCCACACCCAUAAUUCUAUGCACCCUGCCCCCGCACAUGCGCAUGCUUCCCCCGUUCCCCCACCCCGCUCCUGCCAUGCGAUGGCACAGUGGGCCCAGUAUUGCCAACUUCUGGUGGGACUGGAAGGCCUGUUUUUCUCUCUCCCCAGGCUCCAGAGCCUUUCUAGGAGCUUUGGGAGGGUGAAAACUGCCUUCCCCACCCCCUGGAAGUCCUCCGAAGGCCAGAAUUGACACAUUUGCCAACUUCCAGUGGGACUGAAAGGCCUGUUUUUUGCUCUUCCUCAGGCUCCAGAGCCUUUCUAGUUGGACUGGAAGUUGGAAAAUGGGCCGUUUCCAGCCUCCAUAGGGCCUCCGGGGAGGUGGGGUAGGGA